rnacentral:rRNA from 1 species
CCUACGGGUGGCUGCAGUGGGGAAUAUUGCACAAUGGGCGCAAGCCUGAUGCAGCCAUGCCGCGUGUGUGAAGAAGGCCUUCGGGUUGUAAAGCACUUUCAGCGGGGAGGAAGGCGUUAAGGUUAAUAACCUUGGCGAUUGACGUUACCCGCAGAAGAAGCACCGGCUAACUCCGUGCCAGCAGCCGCGGUAAUACGGAGGGUGCAAGCGUUAAUCGGAAUUACUGGGCGUAAAGCGCACGCAGGCGGUCUGUCAAGUCGGAUGUGAAAUCCCCGGGCGCAACCUGGGAACUGCAUUCGAAACUGGCAGGCUAGAGUCUUGUAGAGGGGGGUAGAAUUCCAGGUGUAGCGGUGAAAUGCGUAGAGAUCUGGAGGAAUACCGGUGGCGAAGGCGGCCCCCUGGACAAAGACUGACGCUCAGGUGCGAAAGCGUGGGGAGCAAACAGGAUUAGAUACCCGGGUAGUC